rfam:Amborella trichopoda AMTR_V1.0_contig_43570, whole genome shotgun sequence.
UCACCCACCCGUUUUUCCCAUUAGAUCUUGUUUGUUGUAAUGGUGAUCGGCCUUGCUGACCAUUCUGAUAUAUCACCACCCAUAUUCUGGGUUC